rfam:Camelus ferus unplaced genomic scaffold scaffold2080, whole genome shotgun sequence.
GAGGGUAUAGCUCAAUGGUAGAGGGCGUGCCUAGCAUGCACGAGGUCCUGGGUUCCAUCCUCAGUACCUCCU